AGGAAGGAAGAUGGUGGACGAACAAGAAGAGGAAUAUUGGGACAGGUACACAGAAACAUGGAUUUCUGAGGAGGAAUGGAAGUGUAAGAAGAGGUCGAAGUGAAUGAUGAAACCAGAGGGUGGAGUUGAAUUUGAGGAAGAUGGCGAAAAAAAUUGAGAUGGUGUCAAAGAAGAUUGAUGUCAAGUGCAAACAGAGUGAGCCGUGCACCAGACGGAGUUCUGGAGGUGAAAUGGAAUUGAACGGGGGCAAGUUAAGUGAGGUGGAAGGUGUGGUGAAGAGUUCGGAGCCCGAUCCUGACAUCGAUGGACAUGAUAAAGAAGAGGCUGGUCCAGUAGGAGUGACAUUUUUGGGGAAACUGGAUCCUUUCCUUUUGGCAAAUCCAUUUGUGGUUUCAGGGGAGUGGGCGCUCCGUGUCAUGCAACUUGGGUCAAGAUCUGUUUCUUGCUUUGCUCUUAGGAAUCGGGCACGAUUUGUAAGGAGUCAUUUCUGGGGUAGCGUUAAGUGUGGAGGUGGAGCAAUUGAAGUUGAAAAUUCCUGGUGUUUGAGACGCCCGCUGUUUGGUUCGACGUAGACCCAGUGGCAGCUUACUGGAACCAAAACACUGCCUUCUAGUGCAGGCAGAGGAUGUUGCUCUCCUCCGCUGUACUUGACGGCCAACAGACACAGAGGGCUGUAAUAGGAGUGAAUUGAACUCAAAUCCCUUGUUAAGAACACCUGCUGCUCAUCUCCUGCCACU